rnacentral:tRNA from 1 species
GGAAGGGUGGCAGAGCGGCAAUGCGUCGGCUUGCUAAGCCGUAGCCUGGGCUGAGUUCCAGCGCGGGUUCGAUCCCCGCCCCUUCCGCCA